AGAAUUUAUUCAGGAAUCAGAAGAAAGAAAUUUAGCAAAUAGUUUUAGUGGCGGACUGGUGAGUAACACGCAAGCAACCAACCUAUUAGAGGGGAAUAACAUUGAGAAAUCAAUGCUAAUACCGCAUAAGCUGACAGAAUCGCAUGAUUAAGUCAGAAAAGGAGGAAUUCGCUAAUAGAUGGGCUUACGGCUGAUUAGCUAGUUGGUGGGGUAGAAGCCUACCAAGGCAACGAUCAGUAGCCGGACUGAGAGGUUGAACGGCCACAUUGGGACUGAGAUACGGCCCAGACUCCUACGGGAGGCAGCAGUCGGGAAUAUUGCGCAAUGGAGGGAACUCUGACGCAGUGACGCCGCGUAUAGGAAGAAGGUAUUCGUAUUGUAAACUAUUGUCGUUAGGGAAGAAAAGGACAGUACCUAAGGAGGAAGCUCCGGCUAACUAUGUGCCAGCAGCCGCGGUAAUACAUAGGGAGCGAGCGUUAUCCGGAAUUAUUGGGUGUAAAGGGUGCGUAGACGGGAGAGAAAGUUAGUUGUGAAAGCCCUCGGCUUAACUGAGGAACGGCAACUAAAACUACUCAUCUUGAGUACGAGAGAGGAAAGUGGAAUUUCUAGUGUAGCGGUGAAAUGCGUAGAUAUUAGGAGGAACACCAGUGGCGAAGGCGACUUUCUGGCUCGAAACUGACGUUGAGGCACGAAAGUGUGGGGAGCAAACAGGAUUAGAUACCCUGGUAGUCCACACUGUAAACGAUGGAUACAAGGUGUAGGAGGUAUUAAGCCUUUUGUGCCGACGCAAACGCAGUAAGUAUCCCACCUGGGGAGUACGACCGCAAGGUUGAAACUCAAGGAAUUGACGGGGGCCCGCACAGCAGUGGAGUAUGUGGUUUAAUUCGAAGCAACGCGAGAACCUUACCAGGCUGACAUGCAU
rnacentral:rRNA from 1 species